rnacentral:rRNA from 1 species
AACGAACGUUGGCGGCGUGGAUGAGGCAUGCAAGUCGAACGCGAAAGCCGCAAGGCGAGUAGCGUGGCGGACGGGUGCGUAACGCGUAGUCAAGUUACCUUCGAGACGGGGAUAACCGCG